rnacentral:rRNA from 1 species
GACGAACGCUGGCGGCGUGCUUAACACAUGCAAGUCGAACGGAAAGGCCCUGCUUUUGCGGGGUGCUCGAGUGGCGAACGGGUGAGUAACACGUGAGUAACCUGCCCUUGACCUUGGGAUAACUUCAGGAAACUGGGGCUAAUACCGGAUAGGAGCUCCUGCUGCAUGGUGGGGGUUGGAAAGUUUCGGCGGUUGGGGAUGGACUCGCGGCUUAUCAGCUUGUUGGUGGGGUAGUGGCUUACCAAGGCUUUGACGGGUAGCCGGCCUGGGAGGGUGACCGGCCACAUUGGGACUGAGAUACGGCCCAGACUCCUACGGGAGGCAGCAGUGGGGAAUAUUGCACAAUGGGCGGAAGCCUGAUGCAGCAACGCCGCGUGCGGGAUGACGGCCUUCGGGUUGUAAACCGCUUUCGCCUGUGACGAAGCGUGAGUGACGGUAAUGGGUAAAGAAGCACCGGCUAACUACGUG